CAGAAGUAAUUGCUGUCCACGCUCAGGACGGUUUUUAGCUGUUUUUUAGUACGCUCAUCGACGUCAGCGAGUAGCGGCUGUGCAAGAAACUGAUCGACAUCUUCCCAGCCCUUCGCCGGACGUUGUUGUAAUAACACCCGCGCCUGAACAGGGCUUAACCACGGGUCAAACAGCGCCUCAAGAAUCACACUUUGCGUGACGUCUAAGGUAUUGAUGUUGAUUUGCUGGCGGGUCAUCGGCAGCGCACAGACCAGCGGUUUCAGUUUUUGAUAAAGCCCGGCGUCCAUUCCCUGUACCACGCGCAUCUCACUGAUAUCGGCCAGCGGUUGAUUGGCGGCGUAGAACGGCACCGAGCGGGCGAGAUACUCGCUGUCUUCACGCCCCAGACGCGUCUGCACGC
rnacentral:misc_RNA from 1 species